ACACUGGUACUGAGACACGGACCAGACUCCUACGGGAGGCAGCAGUGGGGAAUAUUGCACAAUGGACGAAAGUCUGAUGCAGCAACGCCGCGUGGAGGAUGACACAUUUCGGUGCGUAAACUCCUUUUAUAUGAGAAGAUAAUGACGGUAUCAUAUGAAUAAGCACCGGCUAACUCCGUGCCAGCAGCCGCGGUAAUACGGAGGGUGCAAGCGUUAUUCGGAAUCACUGGGCGUAAAGGGUGCGUAGGCGGUUUGGAAAGUCAGGUGUGAAAUCCUACAGCUUAACUGUAGAACUGCACUUGAAACUUCCAGACUAGAAUACUGAAGGGGCAGAUGGAAUUAGUGGUGUAGGGGUAAAAUCCGUAGAUAUCACUAGGAAUACCGAAAGCGAAAGCGAUCUGCUGGGAAGUUAUUGACGCUGAGGCACGAAAGCGUGGGGAGCAAACGGGAUUAGAUACCCCGGUAGUCCACGCCCUAAACGAUGAAUGCUAGUCGUCGGAAAGCUCGUCUUUUCGGUGAUGCAGUUAACACAUUAAGCAUUCCGCCUGGGGAGUACGGUCGCAAGAUUAAAACUCAAAGGAAUAGACGGGGACCCGCACAAGUGGUGGAGCAUGUGGUUUAAUUCGAAAAUACGCGAAGAACCUUACCUAGCCUUGACAUUGAUAGAAUCUGAUAGAGAUAUCGGAGUGCCUGCUUGCAGGAACUUGAAAACAGGUGCUGCACGGCUGUCGUCAGCUCGUGUCGUGAGAUGUUGGGUUAAGUCCCGCAACGAGCGCAACCCUCGUCGUUAGUUGCUAACAGUUCGGCUGAGCACUCUAGCGAGACUGCCUUCGCAAGGAGGAGGAAGGUGAGGACGACGUCAAGUCAUCAUGGCCCUUAUGGCUAGGGCUACACACGUGCUACAAUGGGGCGUACAGAGAGUUGCGAUACCGCGAGGUGGAGCUAUCUCAUAAAGCGUCUCUCAGUUCGGAUUGAUCUCUGCAACUCGAGAUCAUGAAGCUGGAAUCACUAGUAAUCGUAGAUCAGCAAUGCUACGGUGAAUACGUUCCCGGGUCUUGUACUCACCGCCCGUCACACCAUGGGAGUUGAUUUCACCCGAAAUCGGGAAGCGAACCUUCGGGACGCUACCGCUUACGGUGGAAUUAGCGACUGGGGUGAAGUCGGAACAAGGUAACCGUAGGAGAACCUGC
rnacentral:rRNA from 1 species